rnacentral:rRNA from 1 species
GCGCGAAAACUUACAAUGCUGGCAACAGCGAUAAGGGAACCUCGAGUGCCAGGUUACAAAUCUGGCUGCCGAGAUGCCUAAAAAGCAUUUCAUAGCAAGGGCCGGGCAAGACCGGUGCCAGCCGCCGCGGUAACACCGGCGGCUCGAGUGGUAACCGUUAUUAUUGGGUCUAAAGGGUCUGUAGCCGGCCGGAUAAGUCUCUUGAGAAAUCUGGCAGCUUAACUGUCAGGCUUUCAGGAGAUACUGUCUGGCUCGAGGCCGGGAGAGGUGAGAGGUACUUCAGGGGUAGGGGUGAAAUCUUGUAAUCCUUGAAGGACAACCAGUGGCGAAGGCGUCUCACCAGAACGGACCUGACGGCAAGGGACGAAAGCUAGGGGCACGAACC